UAACUUAUGAGCGUGAAAUGGGGUCUGGCAUUUCUUCUGUUUAAAAUCUGGCUAAGCUGAGCAGAGAAAAGCAACGCAGGAGAGGAGAAAUGAAAUCAGCAAUGGAAGUAUCAACUUCAACCAAGAAGGUGAGCAGCAAACCCCCUUUCAGACCUGCUAAAGAUGACACCAAGCCACUUCUCCAAGACCCAAUAUUGAGGUCAGACCCCAUUGAGACUGAGGAAGCUGUGCUCAGAUUGCCCCCCUUUCCAGUCGCCAAACCCAAA